AGGGCACCACCAGGAGUGGAGCCUGCGGCUUAAUUUGACUCAACACGGGAAAACUCACCCGGCCCGGACACCGUGAGGAUUGACAGAUUGAUAGCUUUUUCAUGAUUCGGUGGUUGGUGGUGCAUGGCCGUUCUUAGUUCGUGGAUCGAUUUGUCUGGUUUAUUCCGAUAACGAGCGAGACUCCAGCCUACUAAAUAGUGCGGGCGUUGCCUUUGCGCCCUUGCACUUCUUAGAGGGAUUGGCUGCGUCUAGCGGCACGAAACGGAGCAAUAACAGGUCUGUGAUGCCCUUAGAUGUCCUGGGCUGCACGCGCGCUACACUGGCAAAGGCAGCGUGCUUGUCCUGCGCCGAAAGGCGUGGGUAAACCAUUGAAAAUUUGCCGUGAUUGGGAUCGGAAAUUGCAAUUAUUUUCCGUGAACGAGGAAUUCCUAGUAAGUGCGAGUCAUCAGCUCGCGUUGAUUACGUCCCUGCCCCUUUGUACACACCGCCCCGUCGCUGCCUAGAACUGAGCCAUUUCGA
rnacentral:rRNA from 1 species